AAAAUUGUAACUUUUAUGUUUUGUAUAAAUAUUACUAAUAGUAAUUCUUUACAACCUUUUUUGUUCCACGACCAUGAAAUUAACGAAAAUGAAAUACAAAAUGUAUCAGAAUUUUUCGAGAAUAAAUUCCUCGUCGCUCAUAAACUACAAGAAAAAGGAUCAUCAGAAGAAUUAGAUAUCAAGGAUCGUUUUGCAUAUUGGUUUAAUAAUGAGUUUAAGGCAAGAGUUAAAGUUCAUAAUGAGAACGAGAAUAUACCUGGCAAAGUGUUUUUACUCGGUGACGAUUGCACACGACGCUUCUUGUCGGAAAAUAUUGUUCAGGAUGAUGAUUUCGAAAUAGAAUUAUUUACGAUAAACUCAUUGACAGAAUUACUGUAUCCAGAAAUUAUUGAGAGAAUGAACCAACUUUGUCUUAGUUAUUUGUCAAAAUGUGUACAGAAAUUUUCUUCUCAAACUAUGUUCAACACAGAAUUCUACAAGGAGUACAAUAUAAGUUGGUGCACGAAUGUAAUCAGAAAAGCAUGGGGAGACAUCGUGCUAAAUAAAGAAGUAAAAUUAUGGAGAUUUGUAAGAUCGUCAACCGCGAGAAGAGAAGAAGGCGAAAGAGAAGGAAGAAGACAUUAAGAAGAAGCGGAAAAUAUUGAAGACACUAAAAACAAACAAUAAAAACAAAAAGAGAAGACACUAAAUAACAUCUUUUGAUCCGUUAAAAUUUUCUAUAACAGGGGUUAAAAGAAAACCACAAUUUUUCAAAACAUAUAAAUCAUGGUCUCGUCUGACAAUGAGCUAUAUUUGCUUGGAAGUGACUAACAGCGAUUAGAAAUUAUGUUUUUCGUCCGUAUUGAGGAAUGUUGUAUGCUCGAGAGAAUUCCGAAAUUAGCGAAAAUAUACGUAGAAAUUUUAAAGAAAACUUGAAUUCUAUUUUCGGAGAUGCAACUGAUAAAGCCGUAGUUUAAAGAAUGGUACGAGAUCAUAUAUGCGGUAUUUAUUUAUUAUUCUAUUUCUGCAUUAGAUUUUUGUUGUCUUAGUUAAAGAAGUACUGUAUUAUAGUUUACACAUAUACACGUAUAUAUAUAUAUAUAUAUAUAAUGAAUGAAUAAUUCUGUUAGAGACUAUUUCUACAUAUUUUUAUGUGGAUGCCCAAAUUUUUUCGUCUGUUUUUUAAUUGUUAAGAUAUUUGAAUGUUCGCUUACAGAGAAUUCCGUUGGAUGCAUUAGUGUGCACAUAGAAAGAUUAUUGCACACUUUACACAAUGGCAUAAAUAAAUAAUUAAAAAAAAAAAACUAAA